UGUGCAUUGGGUGAUAUUUACUUCUUGGUUGAGUAUUCUCACAUUUCAAGUUUUAAAGUUUGGCAAAAGAGGACUUUUGUAGUUUUUGCUGGGUAUUUGUGAGAGAGGUAAUUGGAGUUAUUGGUCCGGUGUGGUUGGGGCUGUACUGUCCACAUGAUGAAAUGGGGGAGUAACGGUUUUGAUCAUCCAAUGACGAAUUCAGAAGAGGUAGUGUAUAGAAGCAGCCGGGAGCUGAAUAAGAGCAUUUUGCAGACUGUUAGUGUUGCCAGUUCAGUAACGGUAGAGUAUGUGUCUUCAGAUGAACAAUUUGAAGCAGGUCCUCUUCAAGAAACACAAAAGCAGGAGAUAAAUUCAGAAAAAAAGAGAGCAGUUGAUCUUCAGGAAACACAAAAACAAGAGACAAAUCCAGGGCAGCAUCCAUCAGCUCAAGAGAUUUUUGAAUCAAAAGAGUUGAAUGCUACCUCUUUCCCUCGACGAGGCUUGGAUCACUGCACGACUGCCUCUGUUGGCACUCAUAGAUAUCCCCUAAUUGAUGACCAUGAUAAUAUUACAUUCUAUAGAUCCAUGACUGAGAAGAGGACUACAAGGCAUGAGCUAAAAUUGGAUAAACUAUCUGAAUGUGAAAAGAAAAAACUUAUUAUUGAGCUAGUCAAGAUCCAAAAUGAUGGAACAGUGGAAGUUGAUCGUGACAAAACUGCUCCUGUUGCUUCUGAAUUUUUAGAGCUUCACUCAUCAGUUGAAGGGGGGGCAUCUUUCUAUCUUGAUGAUAGUGUUCCUGAAUCUUCCAAUAAAUUAAUUCCAAGGUUGAAAAUUGCAAUUCUUGUGGUUGGGACAAGAGGAGAUGUGCAGCCAUUUCUAGCUAUGGCUAAGAGACUUCAGGAAUUUGGUCAUCAUGUUAGGCUGGCAACUCAUGCUAACUUCAGAAGUUUUGUAAGGUCAGCUGGUGUAGAAUUUUAUCCCUUAGGUGGUGAUCCUCGGGUUUUGGCAGGAUAUCUGUCCAGAAAUAAAGGUCUCAUCCCAUCUGCACCAGGAGAAAUCGCCUUACUAAGGAAGCAGCUGAAAGCCAUUAUUGAGUCUCUUCUUCCCGCAUGCACGGAGGCAGAUAUGGAAACUGGUGUGCUUUUUAGAGCCCAAGCAAUUAUUGCAAACCCACCGGCUUAUGGACAUGUACACGUUGCUGAAGCUCUUGGUGUACCAAUUCACAUUUUCUUCACAAUGCCCUGGACGCCAACAUAUGAAUUUCCUCACCCUUUAGCACGUAUUCCUCAAAGUGCUGGUUAUUGGCUUUCAUACAUAGUUGUGGAUUUACUCAUAUGGUGGGGAAUAAGAGGAUAUAUAAAUGACUUUAGGAAAGGAAAGUUGAAGCUUCCCCCAAUUGCAUACUUCAAUAUGUACCAUGGAUCAUUAUCUGAUUUACCAACAGGUUAUUUGUGGAGUCCUCAUCUUGUGUCAAAGCCAAGAGAUUGGGGUCCUUUAGUUGAUGUUGUCGGUUAUUGUUUCUUAAACCUUGGGUCAAAAUAUGAGCCUAAAGAAGAAUUCAAAGAAUGGAUUCAGAAAGGAACAAAACCCAUAUAUAUUGGGUUUGGAAGCACGCCUCUUGAAGAUCCCAAGAAAACUACAGACAUAAUAAUGGAAGCAUUGAAGGAUACUGGGCAAAGGGGAAUAAUUUACCGUGGUUGGGGAGAUCUAGGGAAUCUUACCGAAGUUCCUGAUACUGUCUUCCUUUUGGAGGAUUGCCCCCAUGAUUGGUUGUUUCCUCAAUGUGCUGCUUUGGUUCAUCAUGGUGGUGCUGGAACCACAGCUGCAGGACUAAAACUGGGGUGCCCAACAACCAUAGUGCCAUCCUGUGGAGAUCAGUUUUUCUGGGGUGAUAAAGUACAUAAACAAGGGCUGGGACCCUCACCAAUACCAAUAGCUCAGCUCAGUGUUGAGAACCUUUCAAAUGCAAUAAGGUUCAUGCUCCGGCCAGAGACUUCUCCACAUUCUUAUGUGGAGUUAACUGCAGCUGUAAACAAAUACAAGGGCAUUUAUGAUAGCACUUUUGCCAACAGGUUGGAAGAAACAUACUUAUUCCAGCAGCUGUGUUUCAUUGUCUUGAAGUCUGAGUACCAAAAAGCCAAAGUGGGCCUAAAGGAAGCACAUUUUCAAGAAAGAGUACAGAAUAAAGCUUUUAAUAGUUCUUGGUGAAAGAUGUAGUUAGAAACUACUCUUUUUUGUUUAGACUUCUUGGAAACUAGCUAAAACAUAGACAAUAGCUUCUUUGUAUCUUCUAAAACAGUAGGCAUUUCCUAACUUCAUAAAAAAUUAUUGCCAAACAUGUUUUCAAGAACAGAAAUAACAAGAGUUUCUAAUUUUACAUCCUUGGUAGCCCUAGACACUGCAAUUGAUUGCAAUUUAUAAUUUUCUUUAUUUGAUUAUACCCAUUAACGCUGUUCACAUGCUGAUCAUCCUGUUUGCCAUCCCCACAUCUGCAGUUGUUGCUGCCAUGAAAUGAUUCACUGUUCCUUCAAUUUUAUAAUAAUCCCCUUGUCAGUUGCUAAUGGUACUUCCAAAUU